UAGCGGCGGACGGGUGAGUAAUACUUAGGAAUCUGCCUAUUAGUGGGGGACAACAUCUCGAAAGGGAUGCUAAUACCGCAUACGUCCUACGGGAGAAAGCAGGGGAUCUUUAUGACCUUGCGCUAAUAGAUGAGCCUAAGUCGGAUUAGCUAGUUGGUGGGGUAAAGGCCUACCAAGGCGACGAUCUGUAGCGGGUCUGAGAGGAUGAUCCGCCACACUGGGACUGAGACACGGCCCAGACUCCUACGGGAGGCAGCAGUGGGGAAUAUUGGACAAUGGGGGGAACCCUGAUCCAGCCAUGCCGCGUGUGUGAAGAAGGCCUUAUGGUUGUAAAGCACUUUAAGCGAGGAGGAGGCUUACCUGGUUAAUACCCAGGAUAAGUGGACGUUACUCGCAGAAUAAGCACCGGCUAACUCUGUGCCAGCAGCCGCGGUAAUACAGAGGGUGCAAGCGUUAAUCGGAUUUACUGGGCGUAAAGCGCGCGUAGGCGGCCAAUUAAGUCAAAUGUGAAAUCCCCGAGCUUAACUUGGGAAUUGCAUUCGAUACUGAUUGGCUAGAGUGUGGGAGAGGAUGGUAGAAUUCCAGGUGUAGCGGUGAAAUGCGUAGAGAUCUGGAGGAAUACCGAUGGCGAAGGCAGCC
rnacentral:rRNA from 1 species